CCUGUAAAUUGCGAUGAAAAAUUAAAAAUCUACAUGGUCACAAGUUCACAACAAAUGACCACAGUCUACUAUAGAUAUCUAACAGCUUGGAAGUUGUUAACAUGGCGACGUGGCAGGGACACGUCCAUAUCGCAAAUGAUCUAACACCCCCGCUAAAACAUCUGACCUGCAGCUUCUGGACGAAGAUCUCCCUGAUCUACUAAAUCUUCUGACGUUUCUGAUGGUGGGUAGCCACCCUAACCUUGCCAGGGAACCUAUAUGGCGUUUUCCUGGGCUUGAACGCACCAUGGAAGAACUCCUCGGUGACUCGUACCAUCCAGAUUUGGCAAUCGACCC